ACGGCCGUACCAUGCUGAAUAUACCGGUUCUCGUUAGAUCACCGAAGUUAAGCAUCAUUGGGCGCGGUCAUACUACCACCUGGGAACACU
rnacentral:rRNA from 1 species